CGUGUAGGCGGCCAAACAGGUCCGUUGUGAAAACUGGAGGCUCAACCUCCAGACGUCGACGGAAACCGUGUGGCUAGAGUCCGGAAGAGGAGAGUGGAAUUCCUGGUGUAGCGGUGAAAUGCGCAGAUAUCAGGAAGAACACCAAUGGCGAAGGCAGCUCUCUGGGACGGUACUGACGCUGAGACGCGAAAGCGUGGGAGCGAACA
rnacentral:rRNA from 1 species